AACGGCCAUACCAUGCUGAAAACACUGGUUCUCGUCCGAUCACCGCAGUUGUGCAUCGUUGGGUGCAGUCAGUACUUAGGAGGGUGACCACCUGGGAACACCGUGUGCCGUU
rnacentral:rRNA from 1 species